UGUACCUACGGGACGCGCAGUGGGGAAUAUUGCACAAUGGGCGAAAGCCUGAUGCAGCAACGCCGCGUGAAGGAAGAAGGUCUUCGGAUCGUAAACUUCUGUCCUUGGGGAAGAUAAUGACGGUACCCUCGGAGGAAGCCCCGGCUAACUACGUGCCAGCAGCCGCGGAAAUACGUAGGGGGAAAGCGUUAUCCGGAAUUAUUGGGCGUAAAGAGUGCGUAGGUGGUUACUUAAGCGCGGGGUUUAAGGCAAUGGCUCAACCAUUGUUCGCCCUGCGCACU
rnacentral:rRNA from 1 species